rnacentral:rRNA from 1 species
AUUGAACGCUGGCGGCAGGCCUAACACAUGCAAGUCGAGCGGAUGAAGGGAGCUUGCUCCUGGAUUCAGCGGCGGACGGGUGAGUAAUGCCUAGGAAUCUGCCUGGUAGUGGGGGAUAACGUCCGGAAACGGGCGCUAAUAUCGCAUACGUCCUGAGGGAGAAAGUGGGGGAUCUUCGGACCUCACGCUAUCAGAUGAGCCUAGGUCGGAUUAGCUAGUUGGUGGGGUAAAGGCCUACCAAGGCGACGAUCCGUAACUGGUCUGAGAGGAUGAUCAGUCACACUGGAACUGAGACACGGUCCAGACUCCUACGGGAGGCAGCAGUGGGGAAUAUUGGACAAUGGGCGAAAGCCUGAUCCAGCCAUGCCGCGUGUGUGAAGAAGGUCUUCGGAUUGUAAAGCACUUUAAGUUGGGAGGAAGGGCAGUAAGUUAAUACCUGGCUGUUUUGACGUUACCAACAGAAUAAGCACCGGCUAACUUCGUG